rnacentral:lncRNA from 1 species
UUCUCUGUACCAACCUCCUCUUCUCUCUCGAUCCAUCGUUCGUUUGCUGCAACUAUCACUGUCAUCUUCUUCUCUACAAUCAAUUCAAUUUCCUGCACCUUCCUUCCUAUUCCACCAUGUUACAAUCCACAAUUAAUUUGCNNNNNNNNNNNNNGAUUUGCUUCUAAUCAUCAAAGGAUUUGUUUCUCAGAGAUUGAAUCGGUUUGUUUUUGUGAAUUAGUAUUCAUAUGCUUCUAAUUCCUAAUUAGUCUCUGAUCUUGUUUUUCGGUUCCUAAGUUUGCU